UUUUUUUUUUAUUUAAUUUUUGGAAUUAUUUUUUGAUCAGAGGCUGGCAAAACUACUAAGUUUGGAAAAGUAAUGUUCAUUCACUUCUCUGGCAGAUUGUCAGUUUCUAAGGGCAGAAAACAAAUAUCCCAUUUGGACAGACACGUCCACAGCUCUCUCCUGUUCACUGAAUUUGCUGGAAUCACAAGUACCUGCACAGCACCCAGAUUUCAGAUUCUGGAUUCCUGAGCAGACAUCCUUGAAAAACUUUUUUCCAACACAGCUGUGUGUAAAAACAGAUCUGUUUGGAUUGAAUUUCAUCAGGGAUAAAAAGGAGUGGUUAAACCUUUUUAGUUAUCAUUCUGUAUGGUUGAUUGGAAUCCACUUUUCAUUGCAGGUAUAUUUUAUUGUAGUAAUUCACUUUUAGAAGUAAAUAAAUUGAAAAGGUAUUAUUUAUAGCUUAUAUUA
rnacentral:lncRNA from 1 species